CAGCAGCCGCGGUAAUACGUAGGUCCCGAGCGUUGUCCGGAUUUAUUGGGCGUAAAGCGAGCGCAGGCGGUCAGAUAAGUCUGAAGUUAAAGGCUGUGGCUUAACCAUAGUACGCUUUGGAAACUGUUUAGCUUGAGUGCAAGAGGGGAGAGUGGAAUUCCAUGUGUAGCGGUGAAAUGCGUAGAUAUGGGGAAGAACACCAGUGGCGAAGGCGGCUCACUGGACCGACACUGACGCUGAGGCGCGAAAGCGUGGGGAGCAAACAGGAUUAGAUACCCGAGUAGUCCCUGUCUCUUAUACC
rnacentral:rRNA from 1 species